rnacentral:rRNA from 1 species
ACCCGCACAAGCGGUGGAUGAUGUGGAUUAAUUCGAUGCAACGCGAAGAACCUUACCUACCCUUGACAUGUCCGGAACUUGCCAGAGAUGGCUUGGUGCCCGAAAGGGAAUCGGAACACAGGUACUGCAUGGCUGUCGUCAGCUCGUGUCGUGAGAUGUUGGGUUAAGUCCCGCAACGAGCGCAACCCUUAUCAUUAGUUGCUACGCAAGGGCGCUCUAAUGAGACUGCCGGUGACAAACCGGAGGAAGGUGGGGAUGACGUCAAGUCCUCAUGGCCCUUAUGGGUAGGGCUUCACACGUCAUACAAUGGUCGGUACAGAGGGUUGCCAAGCCGCGAGGCGGAGCCAAUCCCACAAAGCCGAUCGUAGUCCGGAUUGUUCUCUGCAACUCGAGAGCAUGAAGUCGGAAUCGCUAGUAAUCGCAGGGCAGCAUACUGCGGUGAAUACGUUCCCGGGUCUU